UACGUAGGGUGCGAGCGUUAAUCGGAAUUACUGGGCGUAAAGCGUGCGCAGGCGGUUUUGUAAGCCCGGUGUGAAAUCCCCGGGCUCAACCUGGGAAUGGCAUUUGGGACUGCAAGGCUGGAGUGUGGCAGAGGAGACUGGAAUUCCUGGUGUAGCAGUGAAAUGCGUAGAUAUCAGGAGGAACACCUGUGGCGAAAGCGGCUCACUGGACCAUAACUGACGCUGAUGCACGAAAGCUAGGGGAGCAAACAGG
rnacentral:rRNA from 1 species